GACGGAGGAUGCGAAGUGUUAUCCGGAAUCACUGGGCGUAAAGCGUCUGUAGGUGGUCAAAUAAGUCAACUGUUAAAUCUUGAGGCUCAACCUCAAAAUCGCAGUCGAAACUAUCACUAGAGUAUAGUAGGGGUAAAGGGAAUUUCCAGUGGAGCGGUGAAAUGCGUAGAGAUUGGAAAGAACACCGAUGGCGAAGGCACUUUACUGGGCUAUUACUAACACUAGAGACGAAAGCUAGGGUAGCAAAUGGGG
rnacentral:rRNA from 1 species